CUUAAAAAAUUAGAAAAGUAAUACAUGCUUUGUGAAGAGUCAAAUGCUCCAUGAAAAGAAGUGAAAAAGGAAAAAUUGUUCCUUUCUGGCCCUUCUAGUCUCACUUUCAAGGACAGAGAAAAGCUGUCACUGCCAUCCAGACGGUAAACAGACUCAGGAUUGCUGAAAGUAGUUUGACUUCCCAAUGUGCCCAACUUCGGGGAAGCAAAUCAGCCAACAAUCGUGAAAAGCCAGAGCUGGAGUCAGAAGGCUUCUGAGUCUCCAACAAGCAGAGUGGCGAUCCAGAUCCGUGCUGACACUGUCACCACAGACUACCUGGAAUUGUG